CAGUAGCCGCGGUAAUACGUAGGGUGCAAGCGUUAAUCGGAAUUACUGGGCGUAAAGCGUGCGCAGGCGGUUAUAUAAGACAGAUGUGAAAUCCCCGGGCUCAACCUGGGAACUGCAUUUGUGACUGUAUAGCUAGAGUACGGCAGAGGGGGAUGGAAUUCCGCGUGUAGCAGUGAAAUGCGUAGAUAUGCGGAGGAACACCGAUGGCGAAGGCAAUCCCCUGGGCCUGUACUGACGCUCAUGCACGAAAGCGUGGGGAGCAAACAGGAUUAGAUACCCGAGUAGUCCCUGUCUCUUAACC
rnacentral:rRNA from 1 species